UACGUAGGGUGCGAGCGUUAAUCGGAAUUACUGGGCGUAAAGCGUGCGCAGGCGGUUCGUUGUGUCGGCGGUGAAAGCCCCGGGCUUAACCUGGGAAUGGCAUUGGAAACUGGCUCGCUGGAGUGUGGCAGAGGGGGGUGGAAUUCCGCGUGUAGCAGUGAAAUGCGUAGAGAUGCGGAGGAACACCGAUGGCGAAGGCAGCCCCCUGGGCUAACACUGACGCUCAGGCACGAAAGCGUGGGGAGCAAACAGG
rnacentral:rRNA from 1 species